rnacentral:rRNA from 1 species
AGAGUUUGAUCCUGGCUCAGGACGAACGCUGGCGGCGUGCCUAACACAUGCAAGUCGAACGAUAUUUGCCAAGUGACUUUUUCGGAAGAAGCGAGGCGAUGAAAGUGGCGAACGGGUGAGUAACGCGUGGGCAACCUGCCCCUGACUGGGGGAUAACACCGGGAAACCGGUGCUAAUACCGCAUAAUACGACCAUAAGGCAUCUUAAGGUCGGCAAAGGACGAAAGUCCGGUUUGGGGUGGGCCCGCGUCUGAUUAGUUAGUUGGCAGGGUAACGGCCUACCAAGACGAUGAUCAGUAGCCGAACUGAGAGGUUGAUCGGCCACAUUGGGACUGAGACACGGCCCAAACUCCUACGGGAGGCAGCAGUGGGGAAUAUUGCGCAAUGGAGGAAACUCUGACGCAGCAACGCCGCGUGAAGGAUGAAGGCCCUCGGGUUGUAAACUUCUUUGAUUGGGGAAGAAAGAAAUGACGGUACCCAAAUAACAAGCCACGGCUAACUACGUGCCAGCAGCCGCGGUAAUACGUAGGUGGCAAGCGUUGUCCGGAUUUACUGGGUGUAAAGGGCGUGUAGGCGGAUCUGCAAGUCGGAAGUGAAAUCCCCGGGCUUAACCCGGGAACUGCUUCUGAAACUGUAGAUCUUGAGUACUGGAGAGGAAAGUGGAAUUCCUAGUGUAGCGGUGAAAUGCGUAGAUAUUAGGGGGAACACCAGUGGCGAAGGCGACUUUCUGGACAGAGACUGACGCUGAGGCGCGAAAGCGUGGGGAGCAAACAGGAUUAGAUACCCUGGUAGUCCACGCUGUAAACGAUGGAUACUAGGUGUAGGGGGUGUCGACUCCCCCUGUGCCGUCGCUAACGCAAUAAGUAUCCCACCUGGGGAGUACGACCGCAAGGUUGAAACUCAAAGGAAUUGACGGGGGCCCGCACAAGCAGUGGAGUAUGUGGUUUAAUUCGAAGCAACGCGAAGAACCUUACCAGGGCUUGACAUACUGCUGACCGGUCAGGAGACUGACCUUUCCUUCGGGACGGCGGAUACAGGUGGUGCAUGGUUGUCGUCAGCUCGUGUCGUGAGAUGUUGGGUUAAGUCCCGCAACGAGCGCAACCCCUAUUGUUAGUUGCCAGCAUUAAGUUGGGCACUCUAGCGAGACUGCCGGUGAUAAAUCGGAGGAAGGUGGGGAUGACGUCAAAUCAUCAUGCCCCUUAUGUCCUGGGCUACACACGUACUACAAUGGCUGAUACAGCGCGAAGCAAUACCGCGAGGUGGAGCAAAUCGCCAAAAUCAGUCCCAGUUCAGAUUGCAGGCUGCGACUCGCCUGCAUGAAGUCGGAAUUGCUAGUAAUGGCAGGUCAGCAUACUGCCGUGAAUACGUUCCCGGGCCUUGUACACACCGCCCGUCACACCAUGAGAGUUUGUAACACCCGAAGUCAAUAGCAUAACCGUAAGGAGUGCGUUGCCGAAGGUGGGACAGAUGAUUGGGGUGAAGUCGUAACAAGGUAGCCGUAUCGGAAGGUGCGGCUGGAUCACCUCCUU